rnacentral:rRNA from 1 species
AUUGAACGCUGGCGGAAUGCUUUACACAUGCAAGUCGAACGGCAGCACGGGGCAACCUGGUGGCGAGUGGCGAACGGGUGAGUAAUACAUCGGAACGUGCCCAAUCGUGGGGGAUAACGUAGCGAAAGUUACGCUAAUACCGCAUACGAUCUACGGAUGAAAGCGGGGGAUCGCAAGACCUCGCGCGAAUGGAGCGGCCGAUGUCAGAUUAGGUAGUUGGUGGGGUAAAGGCUCACCAAGCCAACGAUCUGUAGCUGGUCUGAGAGGACGACCAGCCACACUGGAACUGAGACACGGUCCAGACUCCUACGGGAGGCAGCAGUGGGGAAUUUUGGACAAUGGGCGCAAGCCUGAUCCAGCCAUUCCGCGUGCAGGAUGAAGGCCUUCGGUUGUAACUAGCUUUGUACGGAACGAACGGCGAGCUCUAAUACAGUUUGCUAAUGACGGUACCGU